rnacentral:tRNA from 1 species
GCUGGGGUGGCAGACUAAUGCAUUAGAUUUAAGCUUUAAAGAUGAGGGAAAUAACCUCUCCUGGUU